rnacentral:rRNA from 1 species
GGAAAGGCGAUGACUCUUGCACGCGCGUCUUUCCUGGGUCGGCGCGGCAGGCGAGGAAGCGCGUUCGGGGGGAGGGGGUGUGUGUCGGCGGCGUGGGAAGAAGGGCAGGAGGUGGGGCGGACCCGCGGCGGAGGAGGAGAGGGAGAAGGCGCCGAGCGGGUCGGUGGCAAGGGUCGGGGCGACGAAGCAGCAAACGAGGAGGUGACUGCCGUCAAAUCCAUUCUGCUUCUACUCGCAGGCUAGAUGCGGGAGCGGUCCAACGGAGGUAAUCACUCCUCGCCGGCUAGGUGCACACACGGCAGCGACGUCCCUAUCGCUUACAGUCGCUCUAUCCGGCAGCAACCUCGUGCGUCGGCACGGGGGGAGGCGAAGAGGACCGCCGUGGAGAGAUGGCCUCAGGUAAGAAGAACCGAAAGUUGCGACGGACAAGAACGACACUUGAUAACAAUAUAAUGCGAGACGUCAGCGAGACGUCUACCCUCCUUUGUUACUCCUGUCCCGUCAAAAAUACGUCUACAACUACAAAAACCGACCUUAGUUGUGGGAAGAUUUCUCAAAGAAACCAAUGGAUUAACGGACGUCACUAACCACCUAGUGUGUGGAAACAAGAUGGAUGGUAAAACUAGUAUGAACACCCUGCGAUACGUCUGCUUAGUCUAGGUGUGCAUAAUAUACAACUUUUCUUCCCAUUAAGAUGAACGGAGGGUCAUUAGAAAAGGACGUACAUUUGACUACUUAGUGGACCUAAAGCAAAAACUACCUUAAGGGGUUUUAGAACGUACCUCGUUUUCCACGAAACUAGCAACGAAGACAUGAACCACUAGAAGAAAUGACAAAUUAUCAACGAAGUACAAAGAUAUCCUAUGGGGGUACGAUGUACCGUUGGUAUCACUCGUACAGUUUUCAAAUCGUACUAAUAAUAUUAAGAGAAGAGACAUUUAAUAAUAUACUUCAAACGCAAAACGAACCAAUUGAGAAGACUUCGAGUGUACGAAAAGAAUUUCGAACCACGACUGUGAGUAUUUAGACAACAUCCGAGUGAUAUAUUCUAUUACUUAGACACAAGAUAUCUGAUAGCACCAUUUCUCCAAAAAUAGUCCAAUAAGUAAGGGUACGUAACUUGGAUACCAAGAUUGAAAACGGGUACUAUUUCUUUUACCCCAAAUGGCGAAAAUUAGUUGUAGAUUAAUUUGGUUGUUUUGUAGAUGUCAAGGCGGUCGUAUUGUAAAAAAAACGACCACCUGUAUGGUUUAAUGAGUAUACAUAGUAUAAUACAACGAAGGGUAUAACAAAAGAGGGUCCUUACUGCUCCGUAAGUCCAAGAGAAAAAUCGAAAGGAUGUGUCCUUGUAUAACGUUUUAAUUAUAUGUAUUGCAACAAGGUGGAUGUCCAGAUAGAAUAUAGAUGUCCAUAUAUGUACGUAAGAAACAAGAAAAAGAAGUCACUAGAUGACUAGAAGUACUAAAUCAAAUCACCAUCUCAAUCGUUUUAGACAGUACCUCGUCUAACACGAACUGAAGUGCACACAUACUACAUUAUACUUAAUUACCAAAGAAACACCAACUGAGCCAACACACGGAAAACAGACUUAGUUAUCUCUUUUUAGACUUAUAUAUGGACUUACACCACCAAAGUGUGUAAGACUUGCUUCGAUGGUUACUCAUAUGGAACGAAGACUUUAGUACUCGAAAAAGGAAGAUACUUUUCACUAUUUCAAUGUUGUAUCAAACGAGUUUCCGCACGUAUUGACGUCUAACUCGUUCCGUGUUAGACUCUUCUUUUAUUUUAUUUUAAUCUUUGUCACACACGUAGUACACAUACAAACGAGUGCUCUACACAUAUACAACCGACUCGCUGCGACAACCCUCACGGCCAGCACCGCGGAGCGGAGCCCUCGGGCAGCUGCACCACACGAGGACGCAGGGGCGGAACCGGCGGAGCGCAACCUGUCCUCCCCUAUUCAGUUAGGGAUUAAUUCUAUAGGUUACUUUGACCGUUGUAGUAAUACCUUACCUUUACUAACCUACUGUUUAACAUAUCUAAAUCAUAGCAUAGUAAAUAAACACUGACGUACUAGAAUUAACGCACAGAGACUUAUAAAAUACGGGAACGAGAACCCUGUAAUCUGACUACACCACAACGAAAUAUUUAUUUACUGUACGAAUGAAUGCCCAAACUAAAUCCACACAUCCGAUUCCGCUUUUUUCUUAGUAUUAGAGUCCAAACCCGUACGUGUACCGGUGACUAGUGUUUUAUUCAUCCGUGUCCACGUCAUAACACUAAAAAUUCGUUCUCUCACUAAAAGUCGUUCUCUUUCUCUUCAUGUCAAUUAACAAGUAUAAAAUUCGACGUGAACUUGGAACAGGAUUAUUCAUGAGGGACACAAAGAUUUAUAUUCAGAAAUAUCUCUAAAGUUAUCUUUGAUGUAUACCUACAUAUAUCUGCAUCAAACCUCACAUCUGAGUGAGUAAAACGAGACACACAUCAGGUAUAACAUUAUAGAUUUUUAUGAAUAUAAAUCCUUGCCACCCUCAUCUUGACAAUACUACAACGAGUUAAUAUUCACGGAGUGAAUUUACGAACCAAUCCAGCUCACAUAUCGUUACUCUUCAGAUCGACUUGUUACGAUCUUUAUUGUAAUUACACAAUAUUCGAAGUCUAUUCGGUUUAUAAAACACUGUUCGAAACCUUUAAUGGACCCGACCCUUUGUCGUUAUACAUCGAUAGGACACAACGUACGUCCGUUACGAACACAUAUCGAUACGGUGUAGACGAUAGACUGUGAGUCGGGGUCAAAAAUAUUGUUAAUCUUAAACACUAAGAUUAGACUAAGUAACACAAUGUCCUAGGAAACGUAUAACCGGAGAAGAAUGGCCGUAGACCAUUUUCAACACUAGCUCCUCUUCUAUUACUGCCAGAAUAUUGAGACCGUUCGGGCCGACUGUCAGGAAGAACGAGAGGAGAACCAUAUUGUAAGUUACCAUCACUAUCGAAACCCGCACUGAGACGUGGGAAAGUACAUUAACACAAGGAACUUGCUAUAAAUAUUAACACUAUGAGUCAAAUACUCUCUGUUUACCUGGUUACCAAUUACUAGGACACAACUCUUUUUUUUACCUUACACGUAACUCACCGAAAUCAAAAGAAACGGUAGUAUGUUGC